CUGCUUCGGCCACAUUCUGUGACCCAAAGCAAGUCCCAAAGUCAGCCCAGAUCCGAGCAGGUGGGAAAAUAGGCACCACCUAUUUAAGGGAGGGGCUAUAAGGAAUCUGUAGCCACAUUUAACUUUCCAAUGGGAAAGACAGCUUCUGUGACAGAGCAAGGACAGGUGGACGUGAGGAAGUUUAAGAAAUCCAGCUUCGUUUAAACAAGGAGGCCUGUUAAUGGGCAGCUUGAAAAGGAAGCUACACGAGAGACCUGAGCGCGGAAUGCUUAGAAACAGGGCUUUAAGGUGAGAGUCAGCAAAAGCCAGGACUAUGCCCUGUCCACUGCUCUGAGGAGUUUAUUUUAAUUCAUCUUCACUGAUGUUUUUAAUUUAACAAACAUGGGUCUUGAGAUCUCAAGAAGAAGCUGUUUCAUGAAACCCCACGUCCAGGACUAGACUACCCAAAGUUGUUACAGCUUUCUAGAAGUCAGCCAGCUAACAGAGGCGAGGCAUCUGGGAUCACAAGCUAGACAGGACCUGGGUUCAAAUUCUGUCAUCACCUUAGAAGCCUGUUACAUUUGAUCAGCCACUUGAGCUCUCAGAGUGGGUUUCUUCUGUAGGUCUAAAACUGUUCUUAUGUUACAGGACUGUGAGGAUCUGACCGGCUUAUGAAGUCACUGAUGGAUUUACUGGAGGGCCGUACUUAACGUAAUUCUACAUUUUGAGGAACCCUUCCCAAAUUAUUAUCAUUUCUUUUAGAUGGAGUCUUGCUAUGUAGUACAGGCUGACCUUGAGUCUGUCAUCUUCUACCUCAGUGGACGAAAUGCUGGGAUUACAAGCUUCUGACACCAAGGCUAAGAUCACCACUAUCUCUGGGUAAAAACAUAAACAUCUGGAAGCGUACUUUCAGAUCUUCAGUAUCCCUCUCAUACAGUUAUUCUGAUGGAAAAAAUAUAGCACCAACCUCAAGUCUUGCCCAUUCAUCUGUGAGCAGAAUGAAAGUCACAUGAACUAGAAAUGCAUCCAGUCUUCCUUGCAUCCUUCACCUAGAGAGAGAGCGUUUCUCAAGGCUGGCUGGUCUUCUCGCAGCUUUAGCAAAUAAGAGAAGUUUCUAACCACAGAUGUGCUCUAUGGACAGAUCAUUUACACUCAUCAAGCAGAAUCAAUGUCUCCUAGGUCCUGCUAAUUGGAACUGAUUUGUGUUCUGGAUUGUGCUCAUAUUUUUACAUUACCAUCGAUGAAAAGCCUGCUGUCUGGAUAGCUAGAAAGCAAGUAUAAGGCAAUCACUAUAAGCAUUAAGAGACUGUGCACUUGAGCUAAACGUACAUGGCACAUACAUCAUUCUAUAGAGCAUGGGAUCAGGUUCAGAAGAAAAAUGCUGUGUUCUGGCUUCAGUUCUGCAUCAGGCUAAUGGGCAACACCUUGACUGGAGAGUGGAGAAAAGAAUUCCCAUCUUGCUGAUUAUUCCGUUCAGAAGAUCAGGAUACUGCACAGGGAAGACCCAGCAGGUCCUCUCUGUCCACUCUCCCCUCGCUGCUCCACUCAAUAAGGUUCCGCUUCAAACCCAGAGAGCCGACUAAGCUUGCAGAGAGGUGAAGUGUGAUGGUUCCUCAUGGAAACCUCCAUUUCCAAAUGUGCCACCCUGUGCUGGGGAUACAGGGCUGUGGUGGUUGCAUCACGGCUGGAUGGUUGAGCCACCGAGAGCCUUCUUUUGACCUCUUAGUGUUUGCAACAUUUGAUCUGAAGUUUCAACUUUAAAUAUAAGGGAUGUGGUGCAAAUGGGGAAGGAAAUACACGGAGAACCAACAGAACAAAACAACCUGGCCACAGAGCAGUGAUGCGGAACGCAUUCCUGCCCUCUCCUCCAUCAGAGAGCCUCCACCUCACACCCCGGGCUCCAGCAAGGUGUGACUGUCACUCCCGUGCUCUGAUUGGUCAGCUUUUGGCUUGAGAGAGGAUGAAAAGAUACUUGGGCAGCAGCCGAACGGGUGGUGCUGCAUCUAGGAGAGGCUCUGCAUUUGCAGCCAGGUUAAAUGUGUCCUCCUGGGAGAUAUCUUUCCUGCCCACUCCCUGUCUCAUCUUCCUCCUCCUGAAAUCUUCCCCCUCUACCAUGGCAGCUUGUCCUCCCACAGCCUCCGGAUCUACCAGCUUCUGGGACUUACUUGCUUCCUCUCAUGAUGUUGGUGGAGACCGAAAGUAAAAGUUCCAAGACUCACCUGUGGUCUCAGAACUUGAAGAGGGAGGUGAGAGGAUCAGAAAUUUAUGGUCAUUUUCAGAUGCAUGACAAAUUCAAGGCUAGCCUGGGCCAUAUGAGAUAUUGUCUCAAGAAAAAAAAAAAAGACUCCGAAAUGAAUUUCUUGGCUACAAUUUCAGAUCACUGGGGCAGGUGUUAUGAGCCAGGGAAUCCUCCCAAAGUUUCCGGUUGGUCAUUUCUCUGACUGAGGAGAGUCGUGUAGAAUGAUGGAAUAGAAGAUGCUUUGGACGAAACAGAAAUAAAGCUUCUGUCCCAGAAGAAUGAAAACAUAUACUUAAAUGUCACACUCUGUUCUGAGUUUGGGCAGUGUUGUAAAUUUAAAAAGUAAGUAACCUUAUUAUCAUUUUAUAAUGACACCGAACGUAAAGGUGAAGGUGGAUUCAAACAAUGAGGACAGAAGGGGGGAGGUUAAAUUUCAACCGUGUGUGACGCUCAUGCAUGCACUGACACACUUGUGUGUGCAUUGACACUCGUGCGUGCAUUGACACUUGUGCGUGGCAAUGCCACAGUGCAGCCUAUUGCAUGCUAACUUACAAAACUGCACAGAAAGAAUGUGGAAUAAACUCAAAAAGAAAGAUUUGAAGAAAAUCUUAAUAGAAUUUGCACCAUCCUCCUUUGGUCCCUGGCCCCAGUGAUACACAAUGUUGUUGAAUAUGCAUGUCCACAACCCCAGGACUGGAUGGCUGGGAAGGAGGGUGACUGGCACCCAGAGAGCAGUUUCAUGUGUCCAGCCCUUCACCUGACCUAGGCUCUUUGGUCAGCAGUCCUGGAAGACAGCUCUGCCCUGGGGCCUACUCCGUGAGGAUCUUGCACUGACUUCCCAGGCCUCCUUCCCAUCAGUCUUUUAGAUUGUGUCUCCUUCCAAGCAACGUGGACCAUAAGAUGUGCUGGUCCAAGUGCUGGGAGCACUCCCUGCUCCUCUAAUGUAGGAGGCUCAGCACUCAACAUCCUACAAGUGUUGACAGUGUUGACAGGACCAUCUGUAAGCUAGUCUCAGGCUCAGCUCCACCCUCUAUGCAAAGCAAACAUCUGAUGAGCUAGGGGAAGUGUGGGCAUUGCAAUUACAAUGGCCAAAAGACAGCCGGAUGGGAGCAGCUGAGCCCUCCACAAAUGGGGGCUGGUUAAGCAUGGUGUAUAGAGUGGAAGAGACACUGCUGAAAGUCGUGUUAGGAAGUAAGCACUCGGCGGGAGGGACGGACUUGUUGCUGAAAGGUUAAUUGAAAGCAUACCAGACAGGAAACAGCUAUUACCUCUGAGAUAGGGAAUUACAGGAUCUUUCUUCCCUUCUGUUUACCUAUUUUAAUGGUAGACUAUGAACAUGUUUGAGUUGUGUAACACAUCAUUAAAUUAAAGCCUUGGAAUAGGAAAACCACCAUUAGCAACCUUCCUCACAAGUGAGCGUGGAGUAGCGCUUCAGGAGAGUUCUGAGGUCAGUGGCUUGAUUUCAUUGCUUUGGCUUGCAACAGGGAGUGUAUUCAGCAGGGAGGGGACAUUUUCCAGGGAAGUGCUUAGAGUCCUUUUGACAAGAUGCAAAGUAUACAAAGGUGCGUUUCAAGGUAUUAGCCAAGUUUAGUUAUUAAUAAAAUGU